rnacentral:rRNA from 1 species
GAUGAACGCUGGCGGCGUGCCUAAUACAUGCAAGUCGAGCGAACGGACGAGAAGCUUGCUUCUCUGAUGUUAGCGGCGGACGGGUGAGUAACACGUGGAUAACCUACCUAUAAGACUGGGAUAACUUCGGGAAACCGGAGCUAAUACCGGAUGAUAUUUUGAACCGCAUGGUUCAAAAGUGAAAGACGGUCUUGCUGUCACUUAUAGAUGGAUCCGCGCUGCAUUAGCUAGUUGGUAAGGUAACGGCUUACCAAGGCAACGAUGCAUAGCCGACCUGAGAGGGGGAGCGGGGACAGGAGAAAUGAGACACGGUACGUACGAAUACGGAAGGAGGAAGGAGGGGAGCUGAGGAAAUGGUCCAAAGACUGAAGGAGCAACGCGGAGGGAAUGAGGACGGUAGAAGGAGACUAAAAAUCUGUGAUUAGGGAAGAACAAAAGUGUAAGGAACUAUGAUCGGCUUGACGGUGCCUAAUUAGAGAGAAAAGGAUAACUACGUG